AUUGAACGCUGGCGGCAGGCCUAACACAUGCAAGUCGAACGAGUGGCGGACGGGUGAGUAAUGUCUGGGAAACUGCCUGAUGGAGGGGGAUAACUACUGGAAACGGUAGCUAAUACCGCAUACCAUCAGAUGUGCCCAGAUGGGCUUAGCUAGUUGGUGGGGUAACGGCUCACCAAGGCGACGAUCCCUAGCUGGUCUCAGAGGAUGACAGGCAACACGUGAACGGAGAACCGGUCCAGACUCCUACGUGAGGAAGCAGUGGGGAAUAUUGCAAAAGGGGCGCAAGCCGGAUGCAGCCAUGCCGCGUGUAUGAAGAAGGCCUUCGGGUUGUAAAGUACUUUCAGCGGGGAGGCGUUACCCGCAGAAGAAGCACCGGCUAACUCCGUGCCAGCAGCCGCGGUAAUUC
rnacentral:rRNA from 1 species